rnacentral:tRNA from 1 species
GACGAGGUGGCCGAGUGGUUAAGGCGAUGGACUGCUAAUCCAUUGUGCUCUGACCACGCGUGGGUUCGAAUCCCAUCCUCGUCG